GACGAACCGUGCGAACGUUGUUCGGAAUCACUGGGCUUAAAGGGCGCGUAGGCGGGCUGUCAAGUCCGGGGUGAAAUCCUCCCGCUCAACGGGAGAACGGCCUCGGAUACUGAUGGCCUCGAGGGAGGUAGGGGCACGCGGAACUGUGGGUGGAGCGGUGAAAUGCGUUGAUAUCCAUAGGAACUCCGGUGGCGAAAGCGGCGUGCUGGACCUUUUCUGACGCUGAUGCGCGAAAGCCAGGGGAGCAAACAGG
rnacentral:rRNA from 1 species